rnacentral:sRNA from 1 species
CUGCUUGUCGGAGAUGUCCACCCUCAGACGCGGGCGUAGACACUUAGAUGACCGCGACACACCUCAGAGCCUGGAGACACAAUACGACUUACAGAGUAAACUACCCGACUGGGACCUCUUGAGUCAGUUAGUAGCCAGACCAAAGAGACAGUGGUGUCGUAAGGGGAUGACGUACAACUAUGUCCUUGGAUACUGCACCAUCUCCUUCUCUGCCAUGAAAAGUCGAGGAAGAAAUAUUUAAAUUUGCCCACCAAAAGUGAAGUUGUACAACGACCGAUGAAAGUUUAAUAUGAUGAUAUGUAAGAUAAAAGCAACGACAUUAAACAACAAUAUCAACACGAACAACUUACAAGCGAAUAUUUGUAUUUUUCAUUUUGCCUCAUUUCAAUAUGUAGAGAUAUUAUACACCGUAUGGUGGAAUUGGUAUAUUAAAAAGUGAGAUUUGUUUACGUUUUUGUUUUUGAUCUAGUGCCCGCUGUAUAUGCUAAGUACUAGCGAUGCAUUUAUGUGAAUUCAUUCUUUGUUGAUGAUUGGGUGUAUAAGCUAAGUACUAGCGAUGUAUUUAUGUGCAUUCAUUCUUUGUUUAAAACUAGGUGUAUAAGCUAAGUACUAGCGAUGUAUUUAUGUGCAUUCUUUGUUUCAUACAUUGUGCUCGGAACACUCAAAUCUUCAUUUUACUUGUUUGGUACAUUUUUAUUAAACGAAGUGAUUUUA